AUGUCAGGGGGCAUUUUCUUGUCAAGUCCUUAUACCUUUCUCAUGCUUCAUACAAGGUUUUACCAUCCUGCUGCCUGAAUGUUUGAACCUUUGAUCUCAGCCU